rnacentral:rRNA from 1 species
GACGUAACGCUGGCGGCGUGCUUAACACAUGCAAGUCGAACGGAGCGUCGUUUGAAGGAGACUUCGGUCAAUGGAUGAGAUUGCUUAGUGGCGGGCGGGUGAGUAACGCGUGAGGAACCUGCCUUUCAGAGGGGGACAACAGUUGGAAACGACUGCUAAUACCGCAUGACGCAUAGGAGCCGCAUGGCUCUUAUGCCAAAGAUUUAUCGCUGAAAGAUGGCCUCGCGUCUGAUUAGCUAGUUGGUGAGGUAACGGCCCACCAAGGCGACGAUCAGUAGCCGGACUGAGAGGUUGACCGGCCACAUUGGGACUGAGAUACGGCCCAG